GCUGGGUGUGGUGGCGCAUGCCUGUUGUCCGAGCUACUCGGGAGGCUGAGGUGGGAGGAUUGCUUGAACCCAGGAAUUCGAGGCUGCAGUGAGCCAUGAUUGCACCACUGCACUCUAGCCUGGGCGACACAAUGAGACCCUGUCUCAA
ensembl:misc_RNA Metazoa_SRP Metazoan signal recognition particle RNA